rnacentral:rRNA from 1 species
UUUAUGGAGAGUUUGAUCCUGGCUCAGGAUGAACGCUGGCGGCGUGCCUAAUACAUGCAAGUCGAGCGAACGGACGAGAAGCUUGCUUCUCUGAUGUUAGCGGCGGACGGGUGAGUAACACGUGGAUAACCUACCUAUAAGACUGGGAUAACUUCGGGAAACCGGAGCUAAUACCGGAUAAUAUUUUGAACCGCAUGGUUCAAAAGUGAAAGACGGUCUUGCUGUCACUUAUAGAUGGAUCCGCGCUGCAUUAGCUAGUUGGUAAGGUAACGGCUUACCAAGGCAACGAUGCAUAGCCGACCUGAGAGGGUGAUCGGCCACACUGGAACUGAGACACGGUCCAGACUCCUACGGGAGGCAGCAGUAGGGAAUCUUCCGCAAUGGGCGAAAGCCUGACGGAGCAACGCCGCGUGAGUGAUGAAGGUCUUCGGAUCGUAAAACUCUGUUAUUAGGGAAGAACAUAUGUGUAAGUAACUGUGCACAUCUUGACGGUACCUAAUCAGAAAGCCACGGCUAACUACGUGCCAGCAGCCGCGGUAAUACGUAGGUGGCAAGCGUUAUCCGGAAUUAUUGGGCGUAAAGCGCGCGUAGGCGGUUUUUUAAGUCUGAUGUGAAAGCCCACGGCUCAACCGUGGAGGGUCAUUGGAAACUGGAAAACUUGAGUGCAGAAGAGGAAAGUGGAAUUCCAUGUGUAGCGGUGAAAUGCGCAGAGAUAUGGAGGAACACCAGUGGCGAAGGCGACUUUCUGGUCUGUAACUGACGCUGAUGUGCGAAAGCGUGGGGAUCAAACAGGAUUAGAUACCCUGGUAGUCCACG